CACGUAGGGGGCGAGCGUUGUCCGGAAUUACUGGGAGUAAAGAGCUCGUAGGUGGUUUGUCGCGUCGUCUGUGAAAUUCCGGGGCUUAACUUCGGGCGUGCAGGCGAUACGGGCAAUACUUGAGUGCUGUAGGGGAGACUGGAAUUCCUGGUGUAGCGGUGGAAUGCGCAGAUAUCAGGAGGAACACCGAUGGCGAAGGCAGGUCUCUGGGCAGUAACUGACGCUGAGGAGCGAAAGCAUGGGUAGCGAACAGGAUUAGAUA
rnacentral:rRNA from 1 species